UACAUGGGGUGCAAACGUUGCUCGGAAUUAUUGGGCGUAAAGCGCACGUAGGCGGUUUGUUAAGUCGGAUGUGAAAUCCCUCGGCUCAACUGAGGAAGUGCAUCCGAAACUGGCAAGCUUGAGUACGAAAGAGGGUCGCGGAAUUCCCGGUGUAGAGGUGAAAUUCGUAGAUAUUGGGAAGAACACCGGUGGCGAAGGCGGCGACCUGGUCCAUGACUGACGCUGAGGCGCGAAAGCGUGGGGAGCGAACAGG
rnacentral:rRNA from 1 species